rnacentral:rRNA from 1 species
AUGUCAUGUUUCAGACUCCCUAGGGGACUAUGCGAAAGUGUGACUACACUUAUAAGACAAUUUUGGUGGGGAUCCAAAAGAGGGAAGAGGAAGCCUGCUUGAGUAUCUUGGGAUGUGAUGACAAAACCAAAGAACCUAAGUGGUCCGGGUUUUAAAGAUUUGGAAGUUUUUAAUCUGGCUCUUCUCUCACGACAAGCUUGGAGGUCUCUGAAUGAACCUAAUUCCUUGAGUUCUCGUAUCCUCAAGGCGGCGUAUUAUCAAAAUAGCUCUAUCUUCGAGGCAAAACUGGGAUCAAACCCUUCUCAGAUUUGGAGGGCAAUUGUCGAUGGUAGAGACAUAAUGAAACAUGGCGCUAUCAUGAGAAUUGGAGAUGGAAAGUCGACCCGCAUCUGGCAGCAUAACUGGACCCCGAGGGCUGGCAUGAUGAGACCGAUUUCGUCGCUGGUUCAGGACCCUCCACAAGUAGUGGCUGAUUUAAUUGAUCCCUCAUUAGCAUCUUGGAGAGAGGAUUUGAUCAGACAAGUGUUUGUUCCUAUGGAUGCCGAGGCUAUCUUGAGAAUACCCCUUUGUAACAGGCACGUACAUGACUUUUGGGUGUGGUCUGAGGACCCUAAAGGCCACUUUUCUGUCCGAACAGCAUACGACAUGAUCUAUCGUAUUAAGACUGGAAGAGAAGCCUGGUUAGAAGAGGACGAACAUACAUCUAAUCUGGAGGCUUGCCAUCGAAGUUGA